AGCUAUUAUCUACUUGAUGAUGAAUCCUACUCGGAUAACUGUGGUAAUUCUAGAGCUAAUACAUGCAACAGUGCUCUGAUUUUUUGACGAGCGCAUUUAUUGGACCAAAAUCAACGGAGCUAAGGCUCGUCGAUUGGUAACUCUGAAUAACUACGGCCGAUCGCAUGGUCUAGCACCAGCGACGUGUCUAUCGAGUGUCUGCCUUAUCAACUGUCGAUGGUAGUUUAUAUGACUACCAUGGUUGUAACGGGUAACGGAGAAUAAGGGUUCGACUCCGGAGAGGAAGCCUGAGAAAUGGUUGCCACAUCCAAGGAAGGCAGCAGGCGCGCAAAUUACCCACUCUCAGUACGAGGAGGUAGUGACGAAAAAUAACGGGACCGUUCUCUAUGAGGCCGGUCAUCGGAAUGGGCACAGUCUAAAUCCCUUAACGAGGAUCUAUGAGAGGGCAAGUCUGGUGCCAGCAGCCGCGGUAAUUCCAGCUCUCAAAGUGUAUAUCGUCAUUGCUGCGGUUAAAAAGCUCGUAGUUGGAUCUGCGCCGUAGAACUUGGUCCGCUCAUUGAGCGUGAACUGAGAUUCUCGGCUAUGUUGUUGGUUUUCCCUUCGUUGCCUUCAUCGGUUGCGUAGGGUGGCUGGCGAAUUUACCUUGAAAAAAUUAGAGUGCUUCAAACAGGCUAUCGCCUGUAUAUCUGUGCGUGGAAUAAUGGAACAGGAUUUCGGUCCUAUUUUGUUGGUUUUCUGAACCGAAAUAAUGGUUAAGAGGGACGACGGGGGCAUUCGUAUCGCUGCGCGAGAGGUGAAAUUCUUGGACCGUAGCGAGA
rnacentral:rRNA from 1 species